rnacentral:lncRNA from 1 species
ACGAAAGCAAUUUUUAAUGAAAUACUUAAAAUUUAAUUAAAUAACAAAAAUAAUAAACAACAUUUAAUAUGCAAAACAUUGUGGUUACAANUCUUCAUCCUUUUAAUACUAUUAAUUAGUGGAGCUAGAUGAGGUUGAUCUGGGCAUCAAGAAUUUUCAGGUCGUCUGGUUUCAUAGUAACUAUAGCUUCAAUGUCAUCCCGUCUUGCCGUUGAAAAAA